AUUGAACGCUGGCGGCAGGCCUAACACAUGCAAGUCGCACGAGUGGCGGACGGGUGAGUAAUGUCUGGGAAACUGCCCGAUGGAGGGGGAUAACUACUGGAAACGGUAGCUAAUACCGCAUACCAUCGGAUGUGCCCCGAUGGGAUUAGCUCGUAGGUGGGGUAACGGCUCACCUAGGCGACGAUCCCUAGCGGGUCUGAGAGGAUGACCAGCCACACUGGAACUGAGACACGGUCCAUAUUCCUACGGGAGGCAGCAGUGGUGAAUAUUGCACAAUGGGCGCAAGCCUGAUGCAGCCAGGCCGCGUGUAGGAAGAAGGCCUUCGGGUUGUAAAGUACUUUCAGCGAGGAGGCGUUACUCGCAGAAGAAGCACCGGCUAACUCCGUGCCAGCAGCCGCGGUAAUUC
rnacentral:rRNA from 1 species